UACGUAGGGUGCAAGCGUUAAUCGGAAUUACUGGGCGUAAAGCGUGCGCAGGCGGUUAUGUAAGACAGUUGUGAAAUCCCCGGGCUCAACCUGGGAACUGCAUCUGUGACUGCAUAGCUAGAGUACGGUAGAGGGGGAUGGAAUUCCGCGUGUAGCAGUGAAAUGCGUAGAUAUGCGGAGGAACACCGAUGGCGAAGGCAAUCCCCCUGGACCUGUACUGACGCUCCAUGCACGAA
rnacentral:rRNA from 1 species